rnacentral:rRNA from 1 species
AUUGAACGCUGGCGGCAGGCCUAACACAUGCAAGUCGAACGGUAACAGGAAGAAGCUUGCUUCUUUGCUGACGAGUGGCGGACGGGUGAGUAAUGUCUGGGAAACUGCCUGAUGGAGGGGGAUAACUACUGGAAACGGUAGCUAAUACCGCAUAACGUCGCAAGACCAAAGAGGGGGACCUUCGGGCCUCUUGCCAUCGGAUGUGCCCGGAUGGGAUUAGCUAGUAGGUGGGGUAACGGCUCACCUAGGCGACGAUCCCUAGCUGGUCUGAGAGGAUGACCAGCCACACUGGAACUGAGACACGGUCCAGACUCCUACGGGAGGCAGCAGUGGGGAAUAUUGCACAAUGGGCGCAAGCCUGAUGCAGCCAUGCCGCGUGUAUGAAGAAGGCCUUCGGGUUGUAAAGUACUUUCAGCGGGGAGGAAGGGAGUAAAGUUAAUACCUUUGCUCAUUGACGUUGCCCGCAGAAGAAGCACCGGCUAACUCCGUG